CUAAGCAAUCCAAAGUUGUUUAAUCAAUGUGCUACUUUAACAAGUAAUUUAUGUGCCAUUUCAUUUUCAUUCCGUGCAUUUGUUGCUUUGGCGCCGACGUCUCUGAUAUAGGUGGAUACAAGGAACUGUGACUUCUCCGGAAUGCGGGAUUGGCAGAAGGCUAACCAAGGAAGCAGAAGCAGGCAAAAGGACCGAAUAGACUUCAUGAACAAGAGGUGGCUUACUGAUUUUCUUCAACGGAAAGACCAGAACACUCCAGAGGAGCUAAAUCAGAAUCGGAGGCGCUAAAUACAGCACGGACAUUAUUUCAGCUGUUAGGUUUUCUUUGAAAAUCCCCACACCACAUGGCCACUCCCGGUGAUGAAGACACACUUUCCCUUUGGCAAGAUUUAGCACUUUCCGCCAGGAUAUGAAUUUAAAAAAUGGUAUCAAAUGUAGCUUUAUGUUUUCAAAAACGAGUGUAAAGCACGAAGACUGAAGAAAUUUGUUUUUAAUUUUCGUCCGGAAAAUAUUGUAUAGUGAGUAGUUUUCUCAGUGUCCGCUACAAAUUUGCGCGGUCACAACUCAUAAAAAAAACAACUUAUGACUCUUUAUUAUGGAGUACAUGGUGAAGUGACUAGAAUGGGCAAUAGCAAAAGUGUUUUUCAGAUAGGAGAGGAUUGGUUCGUAUCUGAAUCAUGCUGUUCCCUUUAGUCAGUUUUCCUAUUUUUUUUUUUUUUUUAAAUGUAAAU